UACAGAGGUCUCAACCGUUGUUCGGAUUCAUUGGGCGUAAAGGGUGCGUAGGCGGUCGUGCAAGUCGGAUGUGAAAUCUCAGGGCUCAACCCUGAAACUGCACUCGAUACUGCGCGGCUAGAGUGCUGGAGGGGAGACUGGAAUUUACGGUGUAGCAGUGAAAUGCGUAGAUAUCGUAAGGAAGACCAGUGGCGAAGGCGAGUCUCUGGACAGCAACUGACGCUGAGGCACGAAGGCCAGGGGAGCAAACGGG
rnacentral:rRNA from 1 species